rnacentral:rRNA from 1 species
UACGGGGGGGGCAAGCGUUGUUCGGAAUUACUGGGCGUAAAGGGCGCGUAGGCGGCCGCCUAAGUCAGACGUGAAAUCCCUCGGCGUCAACCGGGGAACGUGACUGUCUGACUACUGGGUGGCUUGGAAUUCGGGAGAGGGUAUGCGGGAAUUCCGAGGUGUAGGCGGUUGAAAAUGCGUAGGAUAAUCUGGAGGAACACCGGUGGCGAAGGCGGCGAGAUCCUGGACCGAGGAUUGACGCGUGACGGCGCGAAAGCCAGGGGAG